rnacentral:lncRNA from 1 species
UUUGAUGGAAUGGCUGAAAGAUUGGCAUUCAGUUGAUUUUUUUAAGAUUCGAUUAAUUUAUGCACUGUAGAUUUUUUCUUUUUAAUCUCCUGAGUUCUUGUUCAGUUUGGUAACGCCGGCAAAACAAUGGGUAGAAGAAAAGCGGAAAAGAGAGAUCAGAGAGACUAGAGAGAUGACAGAGACACGAGAGAGAAGUGUGACUUUUGAAGAUGUAAACCGGGUAAGAAAAUCUUUUCACUCAUCUUAACGACCUUUUUCCUGUUUUCUCUGUUUUCCUUAAUUUCCCCCCCCUUUUUUUUUGCGAAUUCUUGCAAGAAUUGCUUCCCUUCUACUUAAUAGCUACGAUGACGUCAAACUUGGUGCAUAAAUCUUAUGAUACCAAGUUGUUGGAAACUUGGUAUAGUAAUUUUAGUAGUUUCUGAGUAAUGAAUUUUGCUUUUGUUUCAUAGUUAUUAUCCAGUUUUGACUCUUGCUGUUACAGAAGAGCAGGUGGUCCCAGAGUCUGCAACUGAAGAAUUUAGUGAUAUGGUAGAUGACCUAAUCUCUUGAUUGGUAAUUGGGGAUUUGUUCAAUGAAUUGAUAUCUUUUGAUUUAAUGUGGGCAUGUAAAACCGUAACGACCAAUGACCACUUCCUCUGUUUGAACUGGGAUGAAGUAUCAUUAGUCUUUAGUCCUGAUUGUUGUUAUUCUCUCAAUCUAAACUAAAGAAAUUUAGAGGUAGGACAAGGAAAAAAUAUAAAUGCGAGUAAAUUGAACAAACUUUCAGUUGGCCCGUGGGGA